AUUUCAGACACCAGGAUUCAUCAGGAGGACUUCCUUCAGCUGUGGCGCCUGAUCUUCCACAUCUUUGCAACCCUGUCGGGACAGAAAAAGGAAACACAGGCUAAACUUGAGAACGCUACAGAUAAGCAACCCUAAUACUGACAGAGAGCUGAAUGACAGACAUGGCGAUCAUCGUGGUGUCCAUGGAAGUCAGCAAAGUCUGAUGGAUGAGAAAUUCAAUCAAGAGAAGAAACAUUUACUGUUAUUUAAACUCAUUUUCACUCCUGCAAUUCAGCACAGAGACACUAGCAAACUGAAAGUAGUUCAGUAAAUUGACUCAGCUACAAAUCUGAGAGAUGCUUCUUUCCUCCUCAAUUCAUCCUCGGCACUCAUCCACAAAAAGCGAUUUCAUUUAUUACCUAUCUGACCUGGACAAGUCGGACUCCAACAUAGUGACAGUUAAACCUCAGCAGCAUUCUCACCUGGCCAUAGAGAGCCACAUUUAUGCAGUUGUCCUCGUAAUAAUCGGUAACAUUCCAGCUCUGGUCACACAUCCAGAGGAGAGAGGCGUUUGACAGGUCUACAAGAU